CUUUGGCUAAAACUUCCCCAGAUGGUGUGGUGAACCACUUUUAUGUUGGGUGUAGUUUGUGCGUCCAGCAUUUCCGCCCCUGUCUCGAGCUUCAGGACGAAACACUCUUCUCCCCACACGCUCUUUUCUCCGAUACAGGGAAAAAGAUACAUACAAAGGAACAGUCUCUGACAGGCAUGGAGAGAUUGUUGUGGUCGGAUUGAACAUUGAAAGGGAUGAGCGCGGAGCCAACGAUCUUAAGCAGGAAAAGAACAUGUUCGUUGCAGGAUAGAGGCGGCAAAGAAGAAUUGUCAGGUUGAGGUUGAGCUGCCCUCAUGCAAUUCCGGAGGUUGCGCCACCCGUGGGUGGUGGUGGCGCCGCUGCUGCCGCUGCCACGGCCUAUCUCGUCAAACAUUUCCUCCGGUACCGGAACCUCAAGCACUGUUUCCAGGCCAUCUUCGUUGUCCAAAUUUCGACGCAGUUUUCUCAUAGGAUGAAUCAUCAAUCAUGAAGAGAGGGGGUAUUGGGUUGCAAGGAUGGGAGGAAGAAUCAAGAAUAUGGUUGAAUUGGGGAGAAAUGAAAUUGUAGGAAGAUGUAUGCAUGGUGGCUAAGGCCUAAGGUGUUCCUUGUUUAUAGGGAUAAACUAAUAUUGUUUCUUUUUUUAAAAUAAAUAAAUAAAUAAAAAGGUUUAAGGGAAA